AAGAAGAAGCUGCUGAAACGAAGAAGAAGAAGCUGGACAGAUUUCGGCCAAAUAAAGGGGUUGUAUUCUUCCGGUUUUAUUUUCUUGUUUUUGCCUUGAAUCUUGUUUGUUGAUUGUUGUUUUGGUUGAUUGAACUCCUAGGAUCCCCAACAAACUGGUAUCAGAGCUAGGAGGAGUGAUAUUAGUCCAAAAUCGAUCAAAAAUCAGCAAGGAAUCGCCAUUACCAUUUUUUAACCGAAUCUGAAAAACUUGAUUUC
rnacentral:lncRNA from 1 species